rnacentral:lncRNA from 1 species
CUCCCUCUCCUAAUUUGUUUAUGCAAAACUCCUACUUAUUUCCACCGCCACCGUCAAUCUUUUUUAUCUUUUUAGCCCAUCCCCCAAUCCCAAAUCCAACCCCAUUUUUGCAAUUUUCGCCUUCCCACUCCCAGUUCCUCUCAGCUUUCAUCUCAUCAUCUCCACCGCUUCCUUCAUCUCCUUCCUCACUUUUCAUUUUUUCUUUUGACACACUGUAUCUUUCAUUUUAUUAUAUUUAUAUAUUCUAAUAAUUAAAUUGUUUUACUUCUCCCUCUUUUUUUUCCCCUUAAUUUAAUCUUUUUUUUUUUUUUUUAUAUACUCAUUCAGCGUUGAUGAGAUAAUAGCUAAUAGAUUUUUAAUACACUGUUGGUGAUAAUUUUUUUUUCUUUUAAUUCAAAAUUUGGUAAACAAAAAAGAUUUACCUAAUGGAGGCAAUUUCAAAAACUCAUUGAUAGAGCGCCAUUAUCUGGUGAUAGUAGGUAGUGGGGUUACGAGCGGAGGCCAGUAAGGUCCAUUUAGCUAAUGAUAUUUAUUAGUGUGGGUUGGGGUUCCACAAAAAAAUUGAGAAAAAUCACGAAUAAUUAAAAAGACUGAUAGUUUCUAAUCUAAAGGAUGUGACUUGAAGAUGUACGAUGUUCCGCUUUUUCAUAACAUUGUUGUAUUUAGUAGCUAUUAAUUUAUAGUGAAAGAAAGCUUCGCCUGAACCAAUAACUAAAUAUCCUAUAUACAUGCAGUAUACUAAAUAAUAAAGUGCUAAUAAUAAUUAUUAUUAUCAUUUUAUUUAAUUUUUGUUUUGAAAUGAAAAAUUGAUUAGAUUCGGACGGACGGGAAUGUACAAGGCAUUCAUGUUCGGGAACCCAAGUAUAAUAGUUACAACGCCCGAAACCUGCAAAAGAGUACUAACGGAUGAUGAUGCAUUCAAGCCCGGAUGGCCAGCUUCCACGAUGGAACUCAUUGGGAAGAAAUCAUUUAUUGGCAUUUCCUAUGAAGAACACAAGCGUCUUCGUCGCUUAACGGCUGCUCCUGUCAAUGGUCAUGAAGCAUUGUCUGUCUAUGUGCAUUACAUUGAAGACAUUGUGAUCUCUGCCUUAGACAAAUGGUCCAAUUUGGAACAAAUCGAAUUCUUAACUCAACUCCGGAGGCUUACUUUCAGGAUAAUCAUGUAUAUUUUUCUUAGCUCUGAGAGUGACCAUGUACUCGAUGCUUUGGAGAGGGAAUACACUAAACUUAACUGCGGAGUUAGAGCCAUGGCUAUCAAUCUUCCUGGAUUUGCCUAUCAUAAGGCUCUUAAGGUCAGUUGUUUUCUUUUCUUUUCUCAUGUAACGAUUAAUUAACAUAGUCUGUAGUGGAUGUUACUUAAUUAAUUCAAUGAUGAAUUUCUUUGUUGUUUCAGGCUCGGAAAAAUCUUGUGGCAACACUACAGUCUGUAGUGGAUGAUCGAAGAAAUCGGAGCAAGGAUGAUAACUUUCCAAAGAAGAAAGACAUGAUGGAUGCCCUGCUGAGUGUUGAGGAUGAAAAUGGCAGAAAAUUGGAAGACGAGGAAAUCAUUGAUGUUCUGUUGAUGUACUUGAAUGCUGGCCAUGAAUCUUCUGGCCAUACCAUGAUGUGGGCUACUAUUUUCUUGCAAGAACACCCUGAAUUUCUUCAAAAAGCUAAGGUAACCCCAACACAAAUAAUUUAAAUGUCUUUUUACCAGUCCAUCAUCAACACCAGCAACUCUGUUCUCUUUUAUUUUGCAAGUUUUACAUUGUCCUUGUAAUUUGACCUUUGCUUACUUUUGUUCUAUAGGCAGAGCAAGAGAUGAUUGUUAAAAAAAGGCCACCUACACAGAAGGGUUUGACCCUUAAAGAAAUUCGAGAAAUGGAUUAUCUUUCUAAGGUAUAUGAUUUGACUGUUUUGAUGAGUCAAUCGAAUUGAAUGUUCAAUCCAAACUCAAAAUCCUUUUCUUUGUGUUUUUUUUUUUUUCUUUUUCCCUUCUCUUAACUUUUUUUCCCCCUUCUCUGAAGGUGGUUGAUGAAACGCUUCGUAUAAUCACAUUCUCACUCACGGUGUUCCGAGAAGCCAAAACAGAUGUCAAUAUAAGUGGUCAGUUCAAUUUAUUUGAUGAACAUGAAGAAAUAUUUUUACUAGUCUCCCCUGGCCCUGGAUAAGCAUGAUUUGAUAAGUCACAGCGCACAAGCUAAUGGUUUACUUAACCAAAUCGGAAUGUGUUUCAUUUCAGGGUACACCAUUCCAAAGGGUUGGAAAGUUCUGGUUUGGUUCAGAAGUGUUCAUUUGGAUCCUGAAAUUUAUCCAAAUCCAAAAGAAUUCAAUCCUUCCAGAUGGGAUGUAAGUUGUAGAUUUGUUUGUUUAAAUAAUCUUAAUAUGUUAGUUAAUGCAUAUGCUUGCCAUAUAUCUAUAAUUAUAUGAUCUAAUGAUGAUGUUGUUGUUGUUUCUGUAAACCAAGCACAGAAUUACACAGCCAAAGCUGGAACUUUCCUUCCCUUUGGUGGAGGCAGCAGGUUGUGCCCUGGAAAUGAUCUUGCCAAGCUUGAAAUAACUAUAUUUCUUCACUAUUUUCUGCUCAAUUAUCGGUGAGUUAUCUUGCAAACUCAAACUCUUCUUCUUUUAGGCUGUUUCGAAGUUAUUUGUGCAAAUAUUAUUUACGUGAGUAUUUGUAAAUUGGAUGUUAUAGGGUGGAACGGCUGAAUCCAGGAUGUCAAGUGAUGUAUUUACCGCAUACAAGGCCUAAAGAUAAUUGCUUGGCAAGACUCCGAAAAUGUUCAUCUUCAUCUGAAUGAAAAUGGAAAAAAAUAAAUAAAUAAAAAGAUGAACAACAGAACAACAAGUUGUUAUGUACAUUGUCUUCUUCUUUCUUUACUAGAAAUCCAAAAAAAAAGAAAAUUAAAUUAUUAAUCAUUAUUUAUGUUUAUCAUUUCCUUCGUUAGCUACAAAUACAAAUAAAAUAGAAGCCUUCCAUUUAUUUAGAUAGAAAAUGUAAUCAAAACAAUUGCUUUCCAAUUUCCCUUCCUGCAUGCUGCUGUUGUAAUAGUAGUAUUAUUAUUUGGACUCCAAUCAAACUCACUCGUUCAAUUAUGAUUUUUCUUUGUUUUAAACUUCUUCAACACCAUGUCUGCUCAAACAAUCAUUUGCCUGGACUAAAAGAAACUUUUUACGCAAGCAUAUAUGAUGAAACAUGAGGUUCAAGCAAUGGAUGUAGUACAAGAAGAAUUGGCAAAAAAAAAAAAAAAAAAAAAAAAGAGGAAAAUCACACAAUUCUUGAAGUUUUAAGGAGAAAAAAAUACAGCAGUUAUCCUCUCAAUGUAGAUCUAGGUCUACUAAUAAGAUGCUCUUACAUUGAUUAGUAUCAGAUCUCUUUUGAGAUAUUUUGACAUGUGGCAUUAUUAAAUUGAAGGGUCAUGAUUUAUUUUUUUAAUUAAUUAUUCUGACAGCAAAUUAAUUGAUGUGUUUUAAUUUUUUACCCGUUCACUCCAUAAUUCCCACUUGUAUCCAUUUUUUUUCUCACCAUCGCGAUCUCAUCAACAAUUAGAACCGAAAAAAAAACCAUUUAUUCAUAAUUCACUGCAAUAAGCAAGACUCAAUCAUCUCAGUUAGAGAAAAAAAAAACAAUUAAUUUGCUGUUUUUCUUUAUUUAACAUUCAAUUAGUCUCUAAACACCACUUUUUAGGGAACCUUUUGUUGGUUUGAGUCAAAGUUGAGACUUUGGCAGAUAGCGUAUUCAUGUUAAAGUUUGGAACUGAAAGUGAACAAAAGGCAUGUGUUAACAAAUGGACCAUAGCAUUUCAAUAACGCUCUCAUAGUUUUUACAGAGCCCGUGGGCAUUGAGGAAGUCUUUAAACAGUCAUUUAAAAUACAUCAUUUUGGGUACAACUCCAAAAUAUGCUCAUUAUGUGUACGGAUAAAGAAAUAUUAGUAGAGACUGGUUGAGCAAUUAGGAAAGUAGCAGAAGUGGGAACAAAUUCUAAUGGAGAUGUUAUGGGACAGAUCAUUUGGCUUAGAGUGUCAAUUGAUAUCACUAAGCCACUAACAAAAAUCAUAACGUUGGGGACAAUGGGAGAACGAGAAGACAUGCAAGAAGAAGAGCAAAGGGUGAUGCAAGAAGAUACACAAGAUGAGGCAAAAGAAGAUAAAGAACAAAUCCCAAUAACAAUCCAAUAUGAGAAGUUGUCGAAGUUUUGCUACUGUUGUGGCUAUAUUGGGCACCAAUAUAAAGAAUGUGUCGCAUACAAAAAUUAGGCCAAGGAAGAUUUGCCCUAUGGGCCGUGGCCUAAAGCUGAAAAUUUGAGGCAAUGAAGAGAUACAGGGAGAGGGAAUGUAGUUUGGGAGAAUCAACGGGACGAAUGACCAACUUCAUCUAGAAAUCCUAACUUUAAAAACAAAGAGCACCAAACCUCAAAUUAUAGUGAAAAAUCGGAUUAGGAUACUGGUGCAAAUUGAACCCGAGAAUCACCAAGUUCAGAGGAGCAUUUAGUGUAAAACGAUGGAAAUAUGAGGCGAGUGAUUGAUAGCUGUCAAACCUAAGGGUGAUAGUUAGUGAAGUCAACAUCAGUAGGGGGACAAAAGCUAGAUAUGGCUAACCUCGAUGAUGAAGGAAAAAGAUGGGAGGCACAAAAACUACAAGCAAAGCUGAAUUUGGGAAAGGGGAAAGUUAGCACUUAGCAACGAGAAAGUUGAACGGGAAAAUAUCAAUCCAAUUCCAACGAUAAGAGAAGUUGAAAAUGAGCCCAAUGGCCAUGUGCUGAGGCCCAAACGAAGGAAGUGGAAAGUGCAAGCAAGAAAGAAGGAUAAAAUAGAGAAAAAAAAAAGUAAAAUGCAAAAUUGGCCUAUUUCAGCACAAAGGCCAGUAAGUGAAGUUAGAGAAGCGUUUGGGGCAAUUCCAGAAGCAAAAUGAAAGAAAAUAUGUGGCCCAAUGGAGUUUUCAGUUCUCAUCUCACCAAGAGCCAAACAGAAACUAACUAUGGAAAUAGAGGAGAAACAAGAUGGAGAAACAAGCGGGUUGGCAAUGGGAAUUACUGAAUUAAUAUCAGUGGAGGUUGGUUACCAGCCCUGCCGAUAGCCAUGAAUAUCAUUAGAUGGAAUAUUUGGGGAUUGGGGAGCGACCAAACAUUUCGUGAAGCUAAAAAUUGCUCAAAAUGCAUAUGUUUGAGCUUUUUUUUCCUUGUGAAAUUAAGCUAACAUCUAGGCAAAUGCAAGGGAAAAGUAAAAGACUGAAUUUUAAUAACUAUUUUGAAGUUAAUAGAUCUAGAAAAAGUGGUGGUUUAGCUUUGAUGUGGAGUUCAGGAUUGUUGGUAGAGAUUAAAUCUUGGAGCAUGCAUUAUAUUGUUGCAGUAAUAUGUGCUGAAAAUGGGACUUAUUGGUGGUGUACAAGAAUUUUUGGGUAUUUAGGCAAAUGCAAGAGAAAAGUAAAAGACUGGAUUUUGAUAACUAUUUUGAAGUUAAUAAAACUAGAAAAAGAGGUGGCUUAGCUUUGAUAUGGAGUUUAGAACUGUUGGUGGAAAUUAAAUCUUGGAGCAUGCACCAUAUUGAUGUUGUAACAUAUGCUGAAAAUGGAACUUACUAGAGGUGUAUGGGAAUUUAUAGGCAUUCAUAAAUGAGUUAAAAGCACUAUAUAUGGUCACUGUUAAUGAGGUUAGCCACCUUAUCUUUUCUGCCCUGGUUUUGGUUUGAAAAUUUCAUUGAAAUCCUAUGGCCUUUUGAGAAAAUAGGAGAAAAUGAUAGAGAAUUAGGUACGAUGCAGAAUUUUAGAAACAUAAUUACAGAAUGUAACCUGGUGGACUUGGGGUGUAAAGGGAGGCCAUUUACAGGGUCCAACGAAAGAUAUAAUCCACUUUUGAUUGAGGAAAGAUUAGACUGUUUCUUGUGCAAUAAAGAAUGGGGGAAUAUGUUUCUUGAAUUUGCCGCUGAAACUUUGGAAACAUGGACAUCAGAUCGCAACCCCAUUAUGAUGACUGUGGCGGAAAAAGAAAGGGGGCUAAAAUAUAAUAGAAGAACAUUUCCUCGACUACACUAUGAGGAUUCGUAGAGUCUUUAUGGGAAAUGCAAGGAAAUUGUAAAGCAAGAAUUACUGGAACAAAGAAGUUGGAGCAAUAAAGAUGUGGUUGAAUAUUCAAGGUGUGUGAAGUAUUUGUCCAAAUACAUUAGACCCUCUUUAAUAUUCAAGAAAUACAUACUCUACUCAUAUUUCGUAAAAAAGAGACUGUCUCUAUUCAAUUAAUUGAAAGAAGUACCUACUCCACUUAAAUUUAUUCGAGAAAUGCUUACUCUACUAAAAUUUCGUAAGAAAGAGACUAUCUCUAUUCAAUUAAUUGAAAGAAGUACCUACUCCAUUUAGAUUUCGUAAAAAAGAGAUUAUCUCCAUUCAAUUAGUUAAAAUUAACCUCUAUAAACCUCUUAUGGAAACUCGAACCCUUACACUCAAUAUUGUAAAUACAAAACUACAAAACUUCUCCUUUUAGACCAAAUGCCCAUUGAUAAUUAGAAUCUUAGUUGAAUCAUCAUAACAACUGAUUCACUGCUAUUAGUAAUGUCCCCCAAGUAAACAGAUGAUGUUUAUGAUUUGUUAAACGGGCAAGUGCAAGCCCCCAAUAAUUUCGUCUCUUCCUUGUCGGGAAUCAAUAAUCAAUAUCAAUCAACUGUUUACUUUCAUUUGUUUGGAAGAUCCCCCCAGAAACUUUAUAAAUUGUAAAUGCUGAUGGUUAGGGAUACUUGCAAUGUUCUUGUUCAUGCUAUUGCCAUCACAAAUCAGCAAGCUCAUCGAAGCCUAUAGGUAAACUAACCUCACCCUGACCUACACCUCGAAAGAUAAGCCAGAGCCGAAACAGUCUCAUGUAUUGUAUGCUAUGAAGGGGGUACAAAGAAGCAUCAACAAAGCUCAAUCCUUAUUUUGUUUGAAAGAACAGCAACGGGCAAGGAUUUCAUCUACUUCCGUUGGACAAAUUCUGUUAGGCAAGCAUGGCAGCAAGCUGCAGCAAUACCAACUCAUUCUCACAAUUACUUAGAGCUUCGCAAUGGCUGUGGCGGGCAAGUUCGACCUAGCAGGCAGCUUUAUAUCUUCCCAUCUGUCAUCAUUGAUCUUGGAGAAAUAUUGGUCAACCAUAUUGUCAUUGACUAGCUCCAGUUUAGACGGCUUCCACUGAGUGCAAUUGCAAGGAGUUAGUUUCCGAAACCCAAAAAUGGAGCAUGCAAGCACAGAUGAAAGGAUAAGGAAGAGUGUUCACCAACCUUCGGGUUCUUAUCCUUGUCUAAUAGAAUGGCUCUGCAACCCUGUAUAACAAACAAACUUUCACAGACUUUCAAAGAUUGUUAUUGAAACCUAUUUUUUUUUUUUUUUUGUAUUUUUUAGCUUGUUCCUUCUUACUUUAAGUAAGGAACUCGUUAAUGGAAAAUUAUUUCACACACACGUGCGCGCAUUUGAAUGGGUUGCAAACCUCAAAGAAGUCUUUGCUAACUUCUCCCAUCAUGACAUGACAGACCAUUCUAUACUCGCGAAUAAGGCAUUGACCAACACCUUGCAGCCUCCCUUCUCUAAUCUGAAAUAAAAGGAACAAAUCCAGCUUUAGCCAGCCAACUUUCAAAAAUUGCAAAUAAGCAAGCACUUCAAAAGAACUUUCGGCGUAAUGAAAUGUCAUUACAAAAGGAAUGCUAAACACAUACCGAUCUAAGAGAAAUUUUAAGACUUGUUGGUGACGCCUUCUUCAAGGACUGAAUGGCAUCAGAAAUCCAAGCAUCUGCUCUGUUGGUGCUCUCGCUCUCCUACAUGUAAGAAAGCAUAAGAUGGAUCAAUUUAUUUACGGCAAACAAUUUUCUUCAUGAUCAAGCAGAACAACCUAAACAAAAAUGAAGUAAUUUACAGAGAAAAUAUUUUGACUCCAUAAAGAACCAAACCCAUCAUCAACUCACCAGAGCAGAUAAAAUUUCCUCAACUGUUCUUCGAGAAAAGCACUUAUCAAUGACAUCCAUCCUAAGCGAAGCAACCACUGAUAUAAGGAUAAAAGGAAAACAUAGCAAAUCUAGAUUGGCUAGUCCAUGUUCUGAUUUGACUAGUCCAAAUUCUGAUAUAUGGAUAAAAGGAAAACAUAGCAAAUCUAGAUUGGCUAGUCCAUGUUCUGAUUUGACUAGUCCAAAUUCUGAUCAGUUUAUUGUCCAUGCAUUGUAGACAAGAAAUUGCUGACGGGAAUAUUCUAAAACCAUAAAAAUGGAAAUUGCACAUAAAGUACAUGCAGAAGAUCAUAGUUAUAGUCCAAAAGCUGUAAAUUCAUAGGUAACUGCUUUCCCAGGAAUAAAUUCAGUUGUGACCUUUCUGGAAGCAAGCAACCUCUCUCCCACCCACCUCUCCUCCAUCAAAAACAGAGUAAUCACGGAACUUUUUUUUUUUUGGGGGGGGGGGGGGGGGGGGGUGUGGGAGACUAAACUGAGCAUUGAGUGCAAUAGCCUUGGUAAAGAACUUAAAAUAAUCAAUAAGCCCAAAUCAAUUAUUUUAUAUCAACCAAUAUAAAGCAAAGCUAUAAAUAGAAUACUUUACCAAUGAUAUGCACUGUGGUCUUUCAAAUAAGGUUCCAGAGAGAAUUUAUCGAUAACUGCUGAAAUGAUGGCUGGAUCAGUUGAAUUUACCUUGUAUAAUGCUUCUUCUAAUAAAGCCAAUCUCUGUCAAUCAAGUAAAAAAAUUAGCAUCGAAAUGGUAAGAGUACUCACAUGAUUAUAAGUAAUAAAAUUAAAAAGUGCACGACUUGGAGGUCAAUACAUAAGAUGCACGUGCACCCAUAAAACCACUAAUUAUUCAUAUUUUAUUCUAGUAAUAACAUCAUCAAACAGUGCCAGAACAAGAGAUCUUCCAAAAUUGAAAAAAACAGUUCACCAGAUUUAAGCUAAAAUGACUGGGCUUAACAAGUUUUUAGACCUACUAAUUGCAGUUUCCACACCUAGAGCAAUGAAGAUUGAACUUCAGAUUCUAGAAAACAAAUAUUAGCUUCAGGACUUCAGCAUCCUAUUAUAAAUAAAUCAAUCAAUUUUAUCUCUUAUCCUUUGAGAAUAUGCAGUCCAAUGAUUAUAGUCAUGGAUACCGAUGAGGGGACAAAGUGAGUAGCAAGACCACAUGCACGCAUUUCAGCACCAUCCAACCUUGCACCUGUCAGACCAACAUAUUCUCCUGCCAAAAAUUGUAGAAGAUAAUUAAGAAAAUAAGAGAAGUUCAAGUUAAUAUCAUCUACAAAAGUUAAAACAACAACAAAAUAGACACAUUACCCUAUAUAACUUAUGAGUAAUGCUACUUGGAUAAAAGGAUUCUUACAAAAUUUUGACAAAAAAGUCCAAAACACAGCCAUUCAACUUAAGUUGAAUAAAAAAGGGAAAAAAUUAAAACAGCUGACCAACAAUAUGUACUUCAUGGCAAUCUAUCAUCAGGACUCUAUAUCAUCAACUCAAAUCUCUUUCACCUCCUUUUCUAUAUUGCUUUCAAAAUUCGGCAUGAUUAAUAAUUAUGUCGGUGAUAUUAUUAUUCUCUCAAACACCAACACAUCAACUCCACGAAAUAUUUCUUCCCAAAGAAUAAUUAAAGGGAAGAUGAUUUUAGAAUUCACCUGAUGGCUGGUUACAAAAAAAUAGAAUUUACCCAAAUCAAAUAUUUACCUCACAAACCCUUUCACCAAAGACCAAAUCAAGCUACUGCCACCACCAGCACCGACACCGAAAAAACCAAACUGUUGACCGGAGAAUUUUAGAUUGAUCACACCAUCAACCAACUCUUUGGGAUCCAGCACCAGUGCCUUUGAACCAGUUUCCGGCAUUGGUUGGCAGUGUGCCGUCGGUGGGUGGAUGUGCAGCAACAAGGAGAGAUCAAUAUCUCAUGCACUAUUACUAUUUAAUAAUCCUUUUUCAUUCAACGGCUGUGUUUUGAAGUUUUUGUCAAAAUUUUGUAUGAAUCCUUUUGUCAAAGUAGCAUUACUGAUAACUCAUUUUACAGAUCAGAAAAUCCUUUAAUAGAUACCAAGAAAAUUCCACAUAUUUUCAAACUAAAACACUUAUCCUAUCAAUUUUUUAAUCUCACGAACACAAUUCAACACUAGGAUUAGCUGAUAGAACAAGAGGAAUAGGAAGGAUUAUGCUAGGAGAUCAACUGGUAAGGAGAGAUGGGACCACUUCUUCCUUGAAUUAAAGAGCUCUCUCAAGUGGGAUGCAAACCUCAUAAAUGGAAGAAAGAAACAACAUCUCCACAUUUGAAAGGGCCGCAAGAACUUUUAAAGUAAGAGCAUGUUUAAGAAAAUAAAGAAAGUAGCUAGCAUUACCGAAGAAUCCAGGGAGUCUUGACAAGAAAUAAGAGGCACCAAUAUCUGGGAAAAGUCCCAAAGCUGUCUCAGGCAUUGCAAAUACCUGCAAUAUAGAAUACCGAGACACAAUUACUAAUAAGGUUAGAGCCACUAAUUUUACAAGAAAACGCAUUUAUUGAAAGGUAAUGCCAUCUAUACAUAUUCUUGUACAAAGUGAAUUUGUACAAACUAAUGUGGAAUUGUUAUAUCGUAGCCACAUGCCUCAAAUUUUCACCAGAAUAAAAAAGAUAAUGUGGGUGCCACAUCAGUUUGUAUGAACAGAGUUUGUAUUCCAGUUAUAUCAGAAUUAAUUUCUUGUUCAUCAUGCUUUCACACUGUUUACCAGUAGAUUAUAUAUAUAUUAGAAAACACAGAUAACCAAUAUCAGUUCAGUGUUCUUGAUGCUAAAAAAUUAAGAAAUUAUCAUCAUCAGUGAUUAACUGAAAAUUGUAACAACUUAACCUUAAUAACUAAAAAGAGAGCAGUAUUACACACCGAAUUCUCAGUAGCAACUCGGAAUCUACCAUGUAUUGAAACACCAGCCCCACCUCCCAUGACAAUUCCAUUAAGAAUUGAAACCUUGAGCACCAAUUGCAUGCCAACUAUAAGGAAAAACUUGUAUAUCUGGAAGGUGAAUGCCACAAAUAAUACAAGGUUUAGUAGAAUGGGUCACCUGGGGUUUGGUGUACGUUGCCAUCAAAUAAUUCAGGAUGAACUCCUUGGAAAAGAAUUUGGCACCUGAUAUCCAAUCACCUAUUGUAAAAAAUGAUUAACAAGGAGCAGUGAACUUUUCAUGGAACAAGCUUCACUAGGACAAAUGAGAUUCUUCAGAUGUUCCUGAAAUAGGACAAAAGGAAGGAUGGAAUAUACCCUCAUUAAUACCGCGAACAACUGCGGCCACAUCACCACCAGCACAAAAUGCCCUUCCUUUUCCCUAGAAACAAAUAAUUAUGCGUUAGCUGCAAGACUGAAAAAGAACGGGUUGCAAUUACAAUGCAAGAGAUAGAUAUUACUAAAUUCAUACCAAUAUCAUGGAUUACGGUUUUUUUUUUAUAAAAAAAAAACUAUUUUAUGCUACGAAGAAGAAGAAGAAGAAGAAAUAAACCUUGAGAAUUAAGAGCUUCACGUUCGAAUCGGUCUCAUAGCGCUGGAAAAGUUCCAAUAACCGAGAAAUCUAUAACUCGAAUUGAAAAGCAAAUAAAAAUUAUUAGAAUUGGGCAGAAAAUAGUAAAGUAGAAGGAGAAAGAGCAAGAAGAUGAGUUUAAUAUGAAUAAAUGGGGUAAGGUUUUUCAUUAAACAAGUAAAAGGAAUGAUAAAAAUUAAAUACCAUUUGAGCUGAAAGUGCAUUCAAUUGCCUGGGCCUGUUUAGUGUCAAUAUUCUUACAAAUGAGGUCUCUUCUUCUAAGACCUGUAAUCGAGACAGAGGACAAAAAAGCCAAAACACAAGUGAUGUGAUGGACCCCAACGACAUCGGCCAUCGCCAAGGCGAAGUAAAUACAGACCAUGCAAACGACUUAGAAGAGAAAAGCUUACCUGGUCUUCCUGUGAUUGAGCAGAAGCCAUCUUGAUCGAACUUGAUAGAGCUGGAAAAACGGGAAGACGAAUAGGGAAUGGGGAAACGAUCUCUUCUCUCUCGAUUCAAUUCACCAAUCACAAGUUAUUACAGACGGGUUUGGUUCAUCUUCAGAACGUUUGCAAGAGAGAUAUGGACAACUUUUUGAGAGACGUCACCGUGGCCGAAGGGGCAAGGCGUUUCACAUCUCAUCAGGCGCGAGUUCGAUUAGAUAUUUAGAUGGUCCGCGGCGCGUCUUCAAUUUCUAUCCAACAUUUUGGAAAUUGAUUAAAAAGAGGUUCUUUUCAAAAUAAAAAAAUAAAAAAAUAAUAAAAAGAAGCUAAAAAUUUUCAUCGUCGUCAAAUUUUAAAUCACUAAUUAUAACUUUUAGGUUAAUGUAACUUAACAACACCCAAUUAAUAUUUUCCUAAAAUGGUUGUAAUGCUAUCGAAGGAAAAGACUGAAAGCACCCUAAACCGCUUCCCGCAUAACACGUUUGUACAUUUUGAUUAUUAUCAUUAUUUUUUUGGAGAAAAAUUGACGGCGCUUUUCAUUAACCAAAUUCAUCAUUGUUAACUUAACAUAUUAGAAAAUAAAAAGGAAAUGGCAUCCUUUUUAUUUAUGAUUCUGUUAAAGAAAAGGGACCCCUACCGAUUGUUGUUAGUAUAUUCUUUUUUUUUUUUAUGACAUGAUACUAUUGCUCAAAUUACAACUCAUAUUAUAUGAUAGUAUAACUGAUAUGUACAAUCAUAUAUAUAUACUGAGAUCUAUUGACAUUAAUGCUGAUAUGGCACUACUCAGAUUUUUGUAACCCUCUCAAAUAUUCGAGGGACGUCAAACUCCCAUCCUGGGAGAAAGACUGCCUUCACUCGAGCUCUGUGGCUCCAAGGAAGGAAAUAUAAAUUAAACCCCUACAAUACGACUGCGGAGAUUCGAACCCCUUCCCUCACAUAUGUGAGGGAGUGGCUCUAGCCACUUGGACUAGCCCAAGUGGUUGAUUGUUGUUAGUAUAUUCUCUUUACAAUAAGGAGGAUUUUGAUUGUUUUGUCUUUUUCCACAUUUUGUUGUUAGUAGAACUUUUAUGACUAGAGUUUUUAUUUAAAAAAUUUAAUUGUUUGAUUGUGAAUUUUUAAAACUUAUAUUAUAAAAAAAUUAUUAAAUAAGUAAAGAAUAUUUUAGAUAUUUUAAUAUUUUAAAAAUUUUCAACUUUUACUCCCAAAAAUCAAAAAUUUGAGCUUUUAUUAGCAGAGAUAAAAUAAUUUAUUUAAUCUUCAAAAGUUCUAUAAAAAAAUAAUUAAAUAAUAAUAAAAAUUUUGUUAAGAGCUUAUGAAAUUAAAUAAGCACUUAGGCUUUAUUUGAUACAUCUUUUCAAGUAGAAUAUAUUUAAGUAAAGUUUUUAUUAGUAGAAUUUUUAUAAGUAAAACUUUUAUUCAAAAAAUUUUAAUUGUUUGGUUGUCAAUAAUAGCUUUUAUUAAAAAUUAUAAAAUUAUUUUAAUAGGCAAAUUUUUUUUAGUUACUUUAUAAAAAAAUAAAAUAAGAUUGUUCAAUAAAUAUAUGAUAUUUUAGAUAUUUUAACAUUUUAAAAAAAUUUCAACCUCUACUUCUAAAAUCCCUAAAAAUCUUAAAAUUUAAAUUUUUACUAGUUGAAGUCAAAUAGUUUAUUUAAAUUUCAAAAUCUUCAUUAAAAACUCAACCAAAUAAUCAUAAAAAUUUUCAUAAUAUCUUAUAGAACUAAAUAAACACUUAUGACUAUUAGAUAAAUAAUAUUAAAUAAAUACUUAUAAUCAUUAGAUAAGACAUACUAAAUAAGUAAUUAACAUCAAAUAUUAAAAUUACUUAAUAAUGAAUGGUAUUAUUAGAAUAUAAUGAGUUGGUUGAUGAGUGGUCGACAGGUUAAAAGCUCAAUUAAAUAAUAACAAAAAUUUUAAUAAAUAUUUAUAAAAUUAAAUAAGUACUUAUUAAUAUUAAAUAAAUCACAUCAAAAACUAUUAAAUAAGCCAUAAAAAAGGGUAGGUGAUUACGUCAAAUAUUAAAUUUUUUUAAUAAUGAAUGGUAUUAUUAGAAUAUAUUGGGUUGAAUUUCUAUCUCCAUUUCCUAUUUUGAUAAUUUUUGGGUCUUUCUGUUUUCUCUGUUCUUAAAUUGAGAAGUCGUCUUUGUUCGAGUAGCAGGAAAGUCACUUUUGUUAGGAGAACCUGUGCCUUCCGAUUCGAAAAAAAACUUCUAAUCUAAGUUGUGUUACGAGCUUAAAGUGCCUCCCACAGUCAGUUUGGGGCCUCCUAGCAUACCUCGUUAUUAUAUAAAAAAAAUAUAUAUAUAUUGGGUUGAUUGAUGAGUGAUCGACAGACACCCGAGAAAUGGAGGAGAUGAUGGUGGUUUUGGAUGAGGAGGAGUUGUUGGGAUGCUGUGGUAGCACCAAAUUUGCGAAAGAGAUGGCGUCGGCCUCACCUUUUGCAUCAUUGAAUCAAGCCGUCUCAGCAGCUCGACACAUCUGGUUCAACGUGGUAUUGACUUUUGUCAUAUCGCUUUUCUUCGCUCAGAUUCUCCCUCUCCCCCCCUUAAUUUAUGUGAAAUUCUAAUUUUAUUUUCAACAACUUACGAAUUAAUAAAGGUUGAUGUAAACGGCUGGCUUGAUGCAUUUUCGGCUCAUCCUCAGAUCGGCCAAUCUCCGUCUUCACAGUUCUCUUUUCGUACUCUUUUCUCGUCUCUUAUUACAAUUACUUGAUAGAUUCUAGCUUUUUAUUUUAUUUUUUAUAUCCUAUUAAUUUCUUUUUGGAUGGUGGUAGGUGGAGCAAGGCAGAGCAGUCGACUGCUUUAGCAACUGCUAAUGAAUCUAGCUCGCAGGUUAGUCAAAUGAAUAUAUCAAUUCCUUUUUCCUGUUGUAAUCGAGUCUCGCAUUGCUAAGCUAAGAUUUCGCAUGUAAGGAUGAGUGCUACUUGGCAUGUGGCCUUAUUUCUAGGAAUGAGUUAUGUGUGCUUAACACUUGUUUAAUUAUCUCUCCCUAUAAGUGCUUUUUUUUUUCCCUCCUUUUUCAAAAUGUUGUAGGAACUGUCCGACUGGAAUAAUCGGUACAGGCUGAGAUUUGGAUUUAUAUUUAUUAUAUGUGCAUCGGGGAGGACGACUGCCGAAAUACUUGCUGAGUUGAAGGUUUGUUAAUCUUGCUGCCGUCCACUUUCUUUACUCACAUUAGAAAAAGCAUUUUGAACUUGAAGUAACUUAUAUUAUUGACUUACUUUAUCAGUGAUUCAUAGAUUGCUUCUUUGCAGUCAGUCUAUGAUUUUAUGUGAUAAUGUUUCUCAAACAGAGAACAUUUCUCAGCACAUCAAGCUCUUUUUUUGCCCCACUCUGUUUCAUUUUUUAUGGUUAUUACAUUUUGUAUACUUUUGCUCCUAGCAGAGAUGUUGUCUUGCAUCUACUCAUCCGCAGAAAAUAACCCUAGUGUGAAAUGCAUUCAUCCUUCAACUUUGCUGAAUAAUUGAUAUUACUAGGCCAGCAGCGGAUCUGCUUUUGUUUUGCUCAAACAAAGUUCAUUACAAUGCCCAUUUUAAUGUACCAGAUUGGAUGCUUAAUAAAAUUUAUUAUCUCUGUUGCUCUUGGCAGAAACGAUACACAAACAGGCCCAUAAUUGAGUUUGAGAUUGCUGCUCAGGAGCAAAUGAAAAUAACUGAAUUACGUCUGGCAAAGCUCUUCUCAGCUAAAGCAAAAGCUUCUUCUGCAACUUUCCAGUAUUCUGCAACUGCAAAAACAGCAGAAGGUACCCUUUUACCAUCAAUCAAGCAGGACUUUUUAUUUGGUCACUACAUUUAAUUGUUAGGAAACAAGCAACUAAUGCAUGGAUAGACGAUAUUAUGGACCUUUAAUUCUCCUGUCUCCCCCCUGAAAAAAUAGGUAAUCUUUGCUUGCACUUGCUCUACAGAUGCAAUUUAGUUUCUGAUCCCUUAGAUUAAAUUUAUUUUCUCUCCGUCAUGCAAUGAGCAAAUAAAAUUUGUUUGGAACACAUACAUUAUUCAUUCUGUGUAUCAGCUGUUCUGAUUAUGUAGAAUCAAGUUUGCUGUCCAGGGAAGAAAAAAAAUGGAAAAAUGGAGAUGAAGGGAAAAAUAUGAAAAUUUAUUUUUGAACAGACAAAUUCUGAAUUGGAUUAAGUGUCACUACCCCUAUUUAGUAUUGUGGUUGGACAACUAUAUCUUAAAAGUUAUAAUACUAAAAUGUUUGGUAAACAUUUGCUAAUCUGGCUUAGAAGAUGAGUUGAUUUGAUUGCAUACCUUUAUCAUGAAAAGCCUAAAAUAUCUUUACUAUUUUUGUUAAAAUUAUUAUUUAAAACAUAUUUAUCACACACUAACAGUUUUUAUUUCAUAAUUCUAGCUAUAGCUUUUUUUCCAUUGCAGCCGUGGCAUAAAAGUUACACCAUCUUAAUACCAAACAAAACUUUAGUACAGACCAUCGAUUUAAAGAAAAUUAAAUGAUUAAACUGAGUUUGAGUAAUAAUAGGGAGCAGCGUUGGUGUUUAGCGGGUGAGGUUUCUCAUCCCCAUCCAAUUUUUUUUUUUUUAAGGACUUGAUAUUUUUUGUUUCUAGCAUUUUUUUUUUCUGAAUUGUUACUAACUACCCUAAUGUUUCGAUAAAUGUUAAUUUUUUCUUUUUCCUUGUUCAAUCUAGAAGAUCGUGUGAGCAUCAUAGAAGGACACCUAUGUGCUUCUACUGAAGCUUCAGCAGGGAAAAUAUCUCAAAUCCCUACAAGAACUCGACUACCAAUUACAACGCAUGUCUUGGAUGUUUCUCAAGGGUCUCCAGCUGCGGGCGUUGAGGUACAUUUGGAAAUGUGGAAAGGCAUCCAACCACGUCCCCUCUUUGGCGAAACAGAUGUUAGUGGGUGGGUGUACCAGGGGUCUUCAACUACAAAUAAAGAUGGAAGAUGUGGUCAAUUGAUGGGCAUGAUUGAAGACAUGAACCCUGGAUUUUACAAGAUAACUUUCAACACUGGUAAAUACUGUCCAGAAGGAUUUUUUCCCUAUGUUUCUAUUGUGUUUGAGAUCAGGGAGUCACAAAAGCGAGAACAUUUUCAUGUUCCUCUGCUGCUCUCACCAUUCUCAUUCACUACCUAUCGUGGAAGCUAGAAUUGUAUGGUUGGUUUGUUGACUAAUAGAAACAUUGUGUGUGCUUGUGUUGCAAAUAUUCAAUAGUGUUGGUCAUGGCUGUGGUUAUAUGGUUUAAUUUAGCUAUUGUUAUUUAUCGAACAAAAAAAAAAAAGACUGUUAUUUUAAGAUUUUAGAAUUUUUUUAUUUAGGUAUUUUGAUGUUUUCUAUUUUUAAUUAGAGUCAAUUAUGGUAUGUGUUUUAGGUUUUUAUUUUCAGUAUAACUUGGAGAAGUGGGCUGACCCUAUUAUAAAUAAGGAGGUCUUGUUAUUGUUUUCAUAGGAUCAAGAUUCUCUCCUGAUCUGAUCAUAUUCUGAGCAAAUAAAUCAAUUGUUAAUUGGUUGUUAAUAAAUAAAAAAAAUAAAAGAAGUUAAAUUUUACCCAUACAUUACCACUAAAGAAUACAUGACGAGAUUUUUGAAAGCUCAGUAGAGUUCAGAUCAGGAGAGGAUUAUAUUCAUUUUUUAAUAAUUUCCUUUGGAACUAGCUAUUGAAAUUUCUAUUGUAGGGUUGUGUGGAUCAUAAGGUCAUCGAAUCUCGCUUAAAACAUUAUCAAAAUUCAUUAAGUCAUUUGUAUUAGAACAAAGAUUUAAUCAUGCUUCGAAUACAGCGUAAUCUAAUCCCAUUGGUUUGGUUUAGUACUAAAAUGAUAUUUAGUGUUUAUUUACCCAUUAAUCUACUUUCGUUAUCUUGUUAUGUCAAUUGGUAUUAUAAAAGUUUUGUGUUAGUUACACUGUUUUCUGGCUAUUUACAUUCAUCUCAUUGAAUCCACCAAUGAAAUAAAAAAAAAAUUCCCAAAUAAAACUCUAGCCGCCACCUCAGCUGUCGUCGCUUCGACCAUUGCUGUCAUUCAGCCCACCACCAGAAUAACCAUUAGUCGAUGACCAAAACCCUUGCCAUCACACUCGGAUUUUCCCCGCCAUAAAUCACCACAGCAACCCUCCAAACCUGCAAGCUUCAUCACUCAACCCACAAUCGUUUAGUUACCUUUACCGUCGAUUGACACCACUAACACCCUCCCCUUUAGCCGCACAUCAAGAGCAACCAUCAUCAUCACCCGUCAUUGCUGCAAUCUUUGUCGCAAAACGCCACCUCACCACCACGUGCCGCUGCUACCUCAAGUCAUUUUUCCAACCAAAUGAUUGCGAUUCUGAUCAAUCUUUAGCUACCGUUGCGUUUAUCGUGAUUAUAUCUACUAUAUCUAACCCUCACCACUCCAAAUCACAAGCACCAAUUGUCGACAACACCAAACGUUGAGAAUUAGGUUAUUUAUGGUUUUGUCAUUAGUUGUAUUUUUAUACUAUGUUUACUUAUUUGAGUGGGAGUGAGAAGUGAAUUCCUCUCACUUAAAUGUUUACUUGCAUAUUUGAAAGAAGGAGUGAAAAUCCUAUUAUGUGAGCUCUACUUAUUUUUCGAGUGAGGAGUGAGAUUUUUAUUUCCAUAUUGGAGGUGGGAGUAGAUUCUUACUCCCCUUCAUUUUUUACCUUUAUUUUAUUAACUAUAAUUAUAUUAAAUUUAAUAUAAUUAUAUUAAAUUUAAUAAAAUAAAUAAUAUCAUAUUUAUUUAAAUAAUAUUAUUAUAUUAUUUUAUAAAUUACAUUUACUAAUAAUAAUAUUAUUAUUAAACUUAUUUAAAUAUAAUAUUAUUUUAUUAAAUUAAAAAUAACAAUAUUAUGUUUAUUUAAUAUUAAUAAUUAAUAAUAAUAAAUAGUUUAUUCUAAGAAAAUAUUAAUUUUGUACUAUAUUAUUAAGUUGCUCUUAUAAAUAAUUUUUAAUUUACAUAAUUAAAAUUAAAAAAUUGUGAUUUACAUAAUUAAGAAUAUUAUUAAUUAUUAUUAAUUUAAAAUUAUAAUAAAAUAAAUAUUUUAUUUUAAAAUAUUUUAUAUUAAUUUUUUAAUUAAAAAUUAUAAUUCUUUAAAUAAAACUAAAACUGUAAUUUGAAACUAUUUACUCCCAAUCCAAAACAAAGUAAACAUAUAAAUUAGAUUUUGAUUCCGAUUUCAUACUCCUAUUCCAGUGUAAGUAAACAAUUUACUCAUACAGCCACUCCACACUCCUAAAUCCAGUAUUCUCACUCUUCAAGACUUUCAUUCCAAUCCAAAAUAUGAACGCUAUCUUAAUUUAAAAAAAAAAAACUGACAAAAAUAGGUAUCAAGGUUCACAUUGUCUCCUUAAAAUUGAAAAUAUCUUGGAUUUUGAUUGUUAUCUUGAGGAUAUUUUUUAUUGGAUUUGCAUGAUGAAUGAUUUUCUCUAAAUUGUCUUAACAUGUUAUGCUUUAGAAUGGUAGAAACAACUACAAGAAUCAAGGAUUCAACAAGGACAAGAUGAAAUCCAAGAAUGGUUUCAUGUGAGACAAUUGAUGAAAGAUUAUUUUCUUCAUUGUGAUGAUGUUGAACCUUUUCUUUUUACACUACUGAAAGUAGAAGAUGAUGGGAUUGUUGAUUUAUCUAAGAUUUUUAAAGAAGAGAUAAAACGUACUUUGAUUUGGGCAUUGAGCCCAAUUGUAUGAUCGAGUUUGUGCAGCAAAAUCAAGUUGAAGAGAUCCAACAAUAAUUGACAUGAUUAUAUCUAUCCACAUUGAGAAUAAAAAGGAUUAUUCUUAAAGAAGAUUUGACUGAAAGGUGAAAUUGUUGGUGAGCACAAUGAGCAAAAAUUAGAGAAAGGCAAGAGUUUUUUUUUUUUUUUUUUUUUUUUUUUUUUUUUUUUUUAUCAUUGUUCGUUUCUUGGAAGUCUUUAUCGCCUUGAAGAAUGCAUAAGUAAGGAAUCGAUGAAAUAUGGAUUCUUCAAAGUUUCAAUAAAGAUUGAUGAGGAAGACAACAAGAGUUACAAGAUGAUUUGCUCUUAUAUUAUAAGUCUCAUCCUCUAAAUUGUAUCCAAAUUCGAGCACGUGUUUCUUUUAAAGGGGGGAGACUAAUGUAAGUCAUCAUUUUAAGACUUUAGAAUUUUGUUAUUUCGAUAUUUUGAUAUGCUUCAUUUUUAAUUAGAAUCAAUUGUGAUAUGUGUUUUAGUUUUUUAUUUCCAGUAUAAUUGCUAUUUAAUUUUUAUUUUAAGUUAACUUUAUGAAGUAGGUUUAUCCUAUUAUAAAUAUAGAAAUCUUGUAAUUGUUUUUAUAACCUUUUGAUUAAUAAAAACUCUUCUUUUAUAAUUUCCUUUGCAAUUAUGUAUCAAAAUCUCUUUUAUAGAAUCAUUUAGAUUAGAGUAUCAUCUAAUCUUGCUUAAGGCAUUAUCAAAAUUUAGUGAGCCAUUUGAAUUAGAACGAGAUCUAAUAACAUUUUCAAUUAAAGUGUAACCUAAUCAUGUUAACUUGAUUUGAUAUUAGAACAGUAUCUAAUAUUUAUCUACCUUAUCAAUCUGCUUUCACAACCCGGCUUUGUCAAAAGAGAUUCGUGGAGAUUAGUAAAUGUGAAGUAGUAUUUAUGUCGGUGGAUUUCAUCCUGUCAACAAAUAAAUGUUAAUGUUUACAUUCUCUUUAAAUUCCAAGACAACUUUUUUCACACAUUUUUAUGAUUAUAUCUAAUCGUCUUCCUCGUUUGCGAAUGUAAGAAGUUGGUCCAACAAAAAUCAAACCCACGUCAUUGGCUGCCAAAUAGAUUGUAUGAAGUAAAUGUUUUCAAGAACCAGUGGAUGAUGUAUGAAUUUCUUUCAUGUGUUUCGUUGAUGCUAGAAUUAACGAGUGCCUCGACAACUAGGGGUGGACGUCGGUUCGAUUCGGUUCGGUUAGGUUUCAGAAUAAAUUUUCGGUUUCGGACCGGUUCGGAUUCCAAAAUUUAAAAAACCGUUCAGUUUUUUUGAAAAUAAAAUUUCGGUUUUUCAAAUUUUUAACGGUAUUUGAAUUUUGACUUUCGGUCAAGGACCAUUUUAAAAAUUUGCAAACAAAUUAGGCCACAAUAGAAUUCUUAUAUGCAACAUUUCCUAAGUAUUGGACCACACUAAUAUUAUAUAAAAGAGAUGGAUCUAAAUGAUAUUAUUCCUCCAUUAUCUUCUCCACUUUGCGACUUUCUCUGUUUCUCACCUAGCAACAGUGACAUUUGCAGAUCCAGUCACAUAUACAGAUCCAAACAAAGCUAAUAAAAUCAAAUACAAUUAAUAAUAUAAUACAGUAAUAAUAAGUAAAGCAACCAUGAAAUUACAAAAGAUUAAAGAGUCAUUUAAAAAAAAAAAAGACCCAUUUCAAAAAAAAAGAAAAAGAGAGAAAGCACAUCAAGUAAGUGAGUUGGCUGGCUGGCGAGGGAGCAAUGGAAGGAACGAUAGCGGCAGGUCGGCAGUAUCAGCCACCAGCAGAUGGAGUUAAGAUUUGGGUGUGUGGUUUGUGCGGUCAUGGUUUUGUGUAGUUGAAAGUGAGAGAUUGGUAUAGAAUUUGUGGUCUGGGUAUAUAUAUCAUAGUGAAAUUACAAAAAUACCUUAAUAUCGGUUCGGUUCGGAUUUUAAAAUUUUUGAUCCAAAAUCGAACCGAACCGAACCAAAUCCGAACCAUUCGGUUCGGUGUUUAUAAUUUCACAUUUUUUAGAGUUAAAAAACUGAACCGAAACCGAAAAAAUCCGAACCAAACCGAAUUUUUUUUGGUUCCAGUUCGGUUUUGCCCACCCCUAUCGACAACUACAAGCUUAAUAUUACAAUCAUUCUCAAAUUAACUGAGUUUUGAUCAAGUAACAAAAAUAAUAAUUAUAAUCAUCAUUUGAUAGGAGAAGGUCUUUUCUUCUAAACCGUAUAAAACAAUCCAUUUAACAAUAGUCCAGCUGUAUGUGUUGUUAAUUAGAGUAAUCUUUCUCUUAGAAAGUUGGGUGUAUAAAUUAAUUUGUAUUAUAGUUAAUGAGGUAUAACACGUGAUUCUUACAUCUCACUAAUCACAAAGAACUGAAAGGAGAAUUAAUUAUGUGGGAAAUUUUUAACAAUAACUCUACCACAUAUACAUUAGGUUCGCUGAAAUUUUUGUAUGUUUCAACAAUUAGUUUCCAACACCGAUCAUAGCUUCCUAAUAUUAAAAAUUAGGGAAUCAAUGUUUAGGUUGGAUUUUUUCUAAUGGCACCAAAAAUAUAGUCGACUUAAGCUCAAUUAGAAUCUAUUGUUGUUGAGCCAACUUUAUAAAUAAAACCUAAAAUAUAUGUGGUGAUAUGCAAACGCACUGGUCUACCCCUAUAUGUUUCUUAUUACUUUUUCAAUAUGAAAAAAAAAAAUGAAAAGGUCAUCUUAUUCAAAACUCGGUUAUGAAAUCCAUUCUCUCCUACUUUACACCUCAUAACGCGUCAAGUUCGACUUGGAAAUCCAUUUGUGUGACCUAAGAAUCUACUUAUCUAAGGCUGUGUUUGGAAUUGAGGUUGCGUAGCUGUAUCUUAAAAGCUACAAUACUAAAGUAUUUGGUAAACACUAGCUGCUGUAAUUUGGAAGUUAUAUUGAUAUGAUUUUUCACUUAUAUGAUAGAAAAUCUAUUAUAUCAUUAAUAAUUUUGUCAAAGUUAUUAUUUAAAAUUUAUAUAUACUACAUAUAAUUAAUUUUUUUUUCAUAGUUACAACUUUUUUUCCACAGCAGCUGUAGCUUUUGGUAAACACUAACUGCUACAGCACCUUAAUUCCAAACAUGACCUAAGUUAGCCAAGAUAAAUGUGCUCUAAAUGUGUCCUCUAGUCAAAGAAAUUAAGUACAACGACCUUGCAACAACCCUCAACUAGCGAAAACCUCUUAAAGCCGCUAGGAGAGUGGGUUGGAUUCAAGGAUGCAAUUGCCCACUAAAAGUAACCUAUUUAAACCAAAUAAGCUAUCAAAGAAAGGGGUUAGAAAUUCAACCUAAGACCCACAAUAAAUUAAGUGUGUGUGUGUGUGUACAUACAUACAUACAUACAUACAUAUCGCAAAAUAAUAAGAAGUUUGAAAUGCAAAUUCUUCAUUACCAAACACAUAAUUUGGAUGAGUGAAAACUUCAAAGUCAACAUAAACUGUUGCUAUAAAUUUAUACAUAAUUAUUAACAGUAAGAAUUCAUUGGUGAUGUCCUUCAGGUAAGGGAACUAGGGAUGGCAAAAUUUAGAUCUAGAUUCAUAUUUUGAGAUCCGUAAUUGCAUCUGAAUCCAUAAAAAAAUAUAUGUGGAUUUGAAUGUGGGUAAUACUCGUGCGGAUUGCGAGCGGAUUUUUUUAAUAUUUGAAUCCACGUAAUAAAUUCAAAUAUAAUUUAAAAUUCAACAAAUUUACCUAAAAAUCAAAUAAAAUCCAAUCAUAAUUCAACAAUCAACAAUUCAACACCUAGAAUAACAUACAAUAAUACCAUAAAUCCAUAGAUACAAAUACCAUAAUAUAAAUCAAACAUAAAAUAACAUUAAUUCAAGUCUAACACCACCACAAAUCCACAAAUAAAAACACUACAAAUCCACAUAGAUUUCAUUUAAAACCAUUACAAAUGAAGACAUUACCACAAAUCCACAUAUGUUUGAUUUUUUCAUUUAACUUAUACAUUUUUUAAUCUAAUAAAAUAAUUUAAUUAAAAAAUAAUGCGGAUCCGGAUAUUCGAUUUUCAGAAUGCACUUACAUUUGAAUCCAGAUCUUUCGGAUCUUUGCGGAUCUGAGCUGGGCUUAGAUUUUUUUGCCAUCUCUAAAGGGAACGACAUUGUGGAAGGGCAUUGUCCUCUAUGGCAAAGCUCCAUCUUCCACCAGGCUCCUCAUCCACUUCAAGAACUUUUAGAUACAUGAAUUCAUAUUUGAUCUAACCAUAAUUGAAUAUGUGAGUCAAUGAAGCGGGGAAUAAGAAUUUUAUUCAAUAGGACAUUAUUUUUUUGUGCACCAUCUUGGAACACCAUAAAUCCCACUUAACUUUAGUUUAUUUUAGGUUUUCUCAAACCAUUUUCCUUCCUUUAUAUACCAAAUAUUUGACUUAGACAUUAGAGAAUCUAUGCCGGAAUAUCUUAACUGUGUUUUGUAGUUGGUAGGUGUGGAAAAUUGUGUUAAGAUAGAGCAGUGUAUGAGUUACGAUUCGUUCUGUUAUUUCCCAGAAAAUAAAUUCAGCUAUUGAGGUUAUUUUUGGACAUCAACAAUAAUAUGUCAUGUUACUUGAGAUAAAUAAUUUAUUUUUCAAUUUUACUAACACAUAAUAUAGCAUUAUGGAAUCAUUGAAUUAACCAAAAUAUUGUUCUUAAACUUUUUUUCAUUUUCUUUUUUGCACUCAAGAAUAACAUUGAUGGUCAUGUAAUUAUUACCUCAAGGCUCAAUCCAGUUUUGCAGAAAUAAAUAAAUAAAUAAAUAAAUAAAUAAAUAAAUAAAUAAAUAUAUAUAUAUAUAUAUAUAUUAUUACAAGUAUCGACUAUCAUAAUCACUAGUCAAUACCGAUCGAUUAGCAAACACUAAAACUGUUUUAUUAUUUUUAUUUUUCCUUAUUUAUGUAUACAAAGUAUAAUGAAAUAUAUAUUUUAGUGUUUAAUUACCUAAUGAAUCACCGUAAUUUUAGUGUUUAAUUACGUGUUUGCAUUAAAAAAAUGAGGGUGCACUGACUUUAUUUAAUCAUAUAACUUAAUAAUGUGUCUGCAUGAAAAAAAAAAUAAGGGUAAUCGGAUGAGAGAAGAAUGGUGUGUGCAUGUGUGUGUGUGUAUGAUUAUGAGCUUUAUGAAAGUAAAAAAAGCUAUUAAGUCAUAUAGUUUAAUAAUAUAAUGGACUAUUAAAUCAUAUGAUUUAAUAGUUUUAUCAGACUUUAACAAAUCCCGAAUCACAACUUGCAUUGUAGGUUAUAAUAUAUGCAUGGUUCUCAAAGGCUACGGCGGUUAGGGGCAUUCCUCUUGAAUCGUUAAGCGUCUUGGACGAUUGACUUGACUGAGCACAUACAAGCCCACGAAAGAAGGAAUUAACUAGUAAUUAGUGUCCAGAUGGAUGACACGUAUCAUGCAAUUUGUUUCCUUAGCUUACAAUUUGCUAGCUAAAGGAGAUAUAUAUAUGGUGAUGGUGAGUGGUGGUUUUAUAUAUAAUCAUUGGAAUGUGUAUCUUGGUAAACGCAACUAACUAAUUAUCGCGUAGAGAUAUAGGCUAAGCUAUUUUGUGUCUCUAUCUCACUAAUACCUGUCUUAGAUCUGAUUAAGUUAAGAGAGAGAUAGGAAAAUGCAGGCCAUUAAGGACAAGCUCCAAGAUAUGAACGCCAUGCGCAAAGCCAAGGCUGAUGCAAAAUCGGAGGAGAAGGUACGUCUCUUUCUCUCUCUCUCUCUCUCUGUAUGUAUGUCUCUGUGUGUGUGGGUGUGUCAGUGUGUGUGUAUAGACGUAGUCGUUAAUUACUCAAUUACUUGGACAUGAGAUGAGAUGCAUGAUGAUGAUGAAUGACGCAUGAUGCAUGUGUGAGUGACUGUAUAGCGUAUGUGGUAGGUGGAAAAGGAAAUGGCGAAAGCAAGAGUUGAGGUAGCUCACGAGGUAAGAUUGGCAAGAGAGGCAGAAGCAGAAAUGGAGUUACAUGUGGCAAAGGCAGCAGAAAAAGCAGAGAAGGAGAUAGCAAAGCAUGAUUCUCAUUCUCCUCACCAACAAAAUGACGCAGCAGCUGCAACUGCAACUGAUUAUCAUCAACAUUAAUUAAUUUGAUCUUGCUACUCGGUACCACUAGCUGACUUCAAAUCAUGCAGAAUGCUCAUGCUUUGCAUGAUAACAGAUCAGAUCACCCAACUAUUCCUGCCUUCUAGGCUCUAGCUAUAUAUCUACUCUACUAUUUCUUAUUAUUUUUUUCAGAAUUAAUAUUAAUAUAAUCUAGCAUCAUUAUAUCGAUUCAAUAUUAUUUAUAUAUUAUAUACAGAUUCUAUCUAUAUGCGUAUGUACACCGUACACGCAAGUUCAUCGUCAUGUACUGUUUGCAUUCCUUUAAAUUUAAUUUGUUGAUAUUUCAUUAAUGAAAUAUUUUAAUAGACUCAAAUCUUUGCUUGCGUAGUAAAAAAAAUUGGAGAGACAAAAUAAAAAAGAGAGAUAAAAAAACAUGAAAAAUAAGGUUAAAGAUAGAAAGAGAUUAGAAAGGAGAAAAUUCAUUAAUCACAAUCAUUAAUAAAAUUCAAAUGUCAUCAACUCCAGUUAAUGUUGACCAUGGAUAAACUAUUAAUCUAAAAGUUUUGUGAAAAUUUGUGUAAAGUUAAGGGGCCAAUAAUAACACUAAGGGUUGGUUUGGAAUUGCUUUUAAAAGGUUCAAAAGUGAUUUUAAAAUGUUAAAAAUUAAUUUUCUUAUUUGGUAAAUUUUUUAGAAAUCAAUUUUGUUUUCAGUUAUUCAUAUCUAUUGUAGAUUUUAAAAACAUUUUGAAAAAUAACGAAGGAAUAACUUUUCAAAAUCUAAUUUUGAGAAUUAAUUUUAUACCUAACACACUUUCAUAUAUAUUAUAAAAUUUAAAAUUAUCUUUAUUAAUUAAGAAAUAAAAUCAUUAGCUUUGAAGAGAUUAUUAUUAUUAUUAUUACCAAUUAUAUUGAGAUAAUAAAAUAAAAUAAUAAAAUUAAUAAUAUAAAUAUUUAUUUUAGUUAUCAAUUAUUAUAUAUAUACAAUAAAAAAUAUUUUAUAUACAUGUUUAUAAAUGUGUAACUAAAUUUUGUUCAAUAUUAUUGUUAGUUCAGUUGUUUACAUUAUUCUACCAGUUUAACAGUAAGAUUUACCAGCAUAUAUGACUGUUUUUAAGACUCACAACACUUUUGCUAUGGACUCGCAGCACAUAUGAAAAUAAAUUUUACGAAACAUUUAACUAAUUCUCUUCACAACUAAUUAUUUUUAUAAUAUAACUAAGAACAAUUAUUUUAAAAGUUAUAGCAUAACUACAUUGGGCCUAAAUUUUAGUCCAAAAUAGAGAAAAGAGAUCUAGAGCUAUAGAAGCUAGAUUUCGUGAAGGCCAAUUUCCAUAUCAAUUUGGAGAAUCAUAAGAUAUAAUUAUAUAUUGGCUGUGUCCUUUGUAAGUUUCAAAUAUCUGGCGAACUACUCUCAACGGAUGGCCACCCAACAUGUUAAGAUUGCGUGCCUCUUAGUUUGAAGGAAAUACCAAAACCAAGACCAUAUAUAUACGCGGAUCUUAAUUUGUCUGGCGUCUAAUAUUUCUCUUUACUUAAUGUAAUGUUCGUAUAAUUAAUUACUAUUUCAAUAUUGCUAAAAUGGCAGCAAAAAACAAAGAUAUUGGGGUGAUUACAGGUGUUUACAAUGUUAAUCUUCAUUGUCCACAAUGCGCACGCAAGAUCGAAAAGCGUCUCUUAAAAAUUGAAGGUACGUAAAACUAGAUUUUAUUUGAAAUUAAGGUUUUUUAAAUUUUAAGUUAUAGUUGUUAUAAGAAAAUAGUUGAUAAUUGUUAAAUUAAUAAUUUUAAUAAAAAUAAUAAAAAUAUUAUAGAUUUCUCUUCAUAUUAAUUUAGGACAAAAUCAAUUCAACUUUUAAAUCACAAUGAUAAAUGUUAUCAAACAUUUUAGUGGUAUAGUUUAGAAGCUCCUGUGUUUUUUCAAUUAAUUUCAUUAACCGGGUAUUUUAGCACUUUUGUGCGAAUUAAUUAGCUUUGAUCUUUCAAUUUGUGAUCAGCAGGGAUUCAAAGUGUGGAUGCUGAUUUUGAGAAAGCUGAAAUUAAGGUUAAGGGCGUGAUUGAUGUGAUUAAAAUCCACAAGUUAAUCCAAAAAACCAGUCAGAAGAAGGUUGAGUUGAUAUCGCCACCACUCAUCAAAAUCAAAGAGAUCGGUGCCAUUAAGGAAAUCAAAGAACAAGAGGUGAGUGGUUUUUUAAAUCUUACUUUUACUAAUAAAAAAAUUGAUUUUAUCACUAUUGAAAUUAUAUAUAUAUAUAUAUAUAUUCCAAAAUUUUAAAGUACAUAAAAAUAUACAAAUCAUGUAGAUUAAACAUUUUAAAUUUUAAGUUUUUUAAAUCUUACGAUUUUAAAAUUUUCUCAAAUUUUUUCCACACUUUAAGGUUUCAAAUUAAAAAACUACUAAUAUAUACACACACACUAAUGGUUUAUAUAUCAUGGUAUUCAUGAUACUGAACAUAGGCUGCAUCUAUCAUUAUUGUAGUUGCUAUAGGCACAUGCAUCUACUCAAAAUUGGCUCAAUUCAAGUCAUAUAUGUAUACGUAUGUAUGUAUAUAUGUAUUUAGUACGUGAAAUUUCAUAUCUCCAUUUAAACGUUUAGUUGAAGUGUAGAAUUCUUUGUUAGAUAAUGGCUUUAUAUUAUAAUAUAUUUUUUUUAUAUAAUUCCUGAAAUUAACAUAUAUAACAACUGAUUUGUUUGAACAAUUUGAUUAAGGUAAUUUUACGCACAACGACAUUAAAAGUUCACAUCCACUGCGCCCAAUGCGAGCAUGACUUGCGCAAGAAAUUACUGAAGCACAAAGGUAUAACAAUGUGAAAUGCGUAUGUGGUUAAACAUUUUCGUUUUCAAUUUUGAAAAACGCAUGAAAGAAUCACAAGUAUCAAUUAAUUACAAAUGCAGGUAUUUACAGUGUUAAUGCUGACACGAAAGCUCAAACUGUAACAGUGCAAGGGACUAUUGAAUCUGACAGACUCCUAUCAUACUUGCGGAAGAAGGUGCACAAACAUGCAGAGAUAGUAACUUCAAAACAGGAGAAAAAGGAAGAAAUUAAAAAAGACAAUGAAAAAUUUGAAGUCAAGUCCACUGAGUUAUCGACUAAAUUUGUAGAAUUUAAGGAGGAUGUUAAAAGCAAAGAGAGCAAUGUUCCCUAUUUUAUACAUUAUGUUUAUGGUCCCCAGUUAUUUAGCGAUGAAAAUCCAAAUGCUUGUUCUAUUUUGUAGAAUUGUUCAAAAAGUUUAUUAUAUAUGGGGUUUUAUUCUUUAAGGUUAUUUUUAUUUUUUUAUUAUUCGCAUUCGACAUGUUUUUCUUUUCUUUUCUUUUUUUUUUAAUUUAUUUGCAUUGGACAUGUUUUUAAGAUUAACUUUUAUGUAUCUCGGAUCAAACCUCAGAUGGAGUGCUUCAAUGGAAAUCAUUGAGCAAAGGCACAUUACUGUUCCAGUUUACCCAAAAAAAACAAAAAAAACGACUCACCAUACUCCAUAUGCCAUGGAAAUAACAAUGACAAAGCAACAAGCAAAGUAGCAAACCAAUUAUACCAAUUGCAAUUAGUUGGGUACAUCUGGGGUAGGGAUGUCACGUGAGGUAGAGGUGUUCUCUUAAUCGAAAAAAUUAAAAUUAAAAUUGUUUUUCGCCUCCGCCACAUCCGCCUUUGUUGGGGAUGGGGCAACCCACUUUGAUUGACUGGAAGUACAGCAGGUGUAGGUUAUCAGUCUUCACCACUCCACUCCACGUGUCCCACGACAAAGUUUCAUUUUAAUUUCCAAGGUCGCCUGAUCAACUGGCAGUUCGCUUAUCUCUCUACGGUCCAGAGAUACAGACAGAGACUUUCACGCUGUCAAAUUAAAUAAUACCUUUUCUUUUCUUUUCUUUUCUUUUCUUUUCUUUUUUCUUCCUCAUUUUGCUGCUCCCAUUGGAUGGGCGAUCGGAUCGGGUUAAACCGAACCAAACCGAACCUAAAAUUUACAACCCGAACAGUUAAAAAUUGAAACCCGAUCGGUUUUUAUUUCGGUUCGGGUUGAACCCAAACCGAACUUUCAAAUCGAUCGGGUUAGACUUAAUAAAUAUAAGAAGUCUCUCUCUCUUUCAGUGCACGCACGCCCAAAAUCAAAAUCCCUAAAUCUAAUUUUCCUUAUUUUUCUCUUCUUUGGCUCUUCCACACAACGGCGGCACAAAGCACAAGUGCACAACCACCCCUUUAGCGGCAGCUAGCAGCCGUCCACCCCUGCUAACUCCCUCUCGCAGUCGACAGUCUCACUCACACACACCUACGCUCCGCCGACGCUCGACGCUUUCAAUCUGGUUCCGGCAUUGCAGCUUCCGUUCCGAUCCAGCUGUCGUUUCUUCGGUCUCUACCGUGAUUUUCGAUCCAGUUGCUGUACGUCCCUACCGUGGUUUUUGAUUGAGUUCAUUAGGUUACUUAUUAUUAUUAUUCUUAUUAAUUAUUAUAAACACUUGAUUUUAAAUUAUUUUUAUGUAAUGAUAAACUGAUAAUUUGUCAUUGAUAUUGAGACCAAGUUAUUUGAAUGUUCAAUAGAAGUGAAAAGAGAAAAAGCAGGCUUCAGGUGUUUUGUUUGUAUGGCUGUGUUUAAGGAUUAAUUAGAGCAGCAAGCUUUUCCUCAUUCUUCAUUCUUUUAGUUGGUGAAAAUUUGGUUAGUUGAUGAAAAUUUAGUGACCACCGAUCUUGGUAUCUGCACCGCUACGUAUUCAACCCAAACCAAAAGUUGAACCCGAAAUUUCAAACCGAUCCGAUCGGAUUUGUAAAUCCGAACCGAAUUAAGUUCAGUUUGGUUCGGAUUCGCAUUUUCAACCCAAUUAGGUUCAAUUCUCCAACUCGAUUGGGUUGUAACCCAAACCAAAAUUUGAACAACCCGAUCCGAAACCUGAUUUGUCCACCUCUAGCUGCCAAAGCUAAAUCAGAAUUGACAUUUAGUGAGUUGGGUAUCAGUUGGGGGUAACGGAUAUUCUUUUUAUUUUUUUAUGUAGUUUGUGAAUUUGUUUAUGUGUUUGUAUAUUGUAUUUACUUUUUUUUAGAUAUUUAAAGGUAGAUUUCUUAUUUUUUCUAAGUAAAAUAUUAGAUUGUACCAUCAUAAAAUUAAUUUAAAAAUUUUAAAUAUAAGAAGAUUAUAAUGUACUAGGAAAAAAAAUGACAAAAUGUAACGGGAUGUUAGACUCUUCACACUAUGUUGCACCCUAAUAGAGUUGAGCAUCAGAUCAGAUUCGGAUAGAUCUGACCCAGUUUAGAUUUGACUCAAUAUCGCAUUGGAUAUGAUUUGUGCCAUCAGAAUAAAUUUGAUUUGAAUCGGAUUAGAUUUGGGUCGAUCUGAAUAAUUUGAUCGGAUUGCACUGUUGAUUAAAAAAAUGAAUAUAAAAGCACAAAAGCAAAAAUCCUAAAUUGAAACCUAAUUUGUCGCGACCCACCCACGACAUUCACUCCUCCAGACGCUGCGACCCAUGACCGUGACCCACGUUAUGAUCUACUCCGCCUGACGCCGCUGAUGACUCUACCCAAACGAUCCCAGCCACAUCUUGGUCGAUGUCUGGCUGCAUCUUGAUUGACGACCAGCCCUCUAGACCCAUGACAUUCUACUGCAUCUUAAUCGGCUUCGAUAUCUAGAUGACCAGUUGCAUGCCGCACGCCAUUGUCCAGAAAAGCAACUGACACUGACAGCAACCUCGCGGCUUGUUCAUGAUAAUCCCAACGCAUGACAACUCUCGACACAUUUGAACUUAAAUUUGGAAAAAUGAUUGAUACACCUUAAAUGUUUAGGAAAAAGGACACAAAAAUCCUUAAUAUUUUAUCAAAGACGCUUAAGUUUCAAAUUAUUAAUGGAUUCGAUUUGGUUAAAUAAUUGAAAGGUUAAUAUAGUAUAUUCCUUUACUAAUCUAAUGAAUUUAUCUAAAAGUCCUCGUCUAAACAUCACAAAACUAAUUGGAUUAAACAAACCCCAUCAAAACAUCACAGGCCCUUAAAUCCGUUGCACGCAAACCCUACCGUCGUUCAUGCCGCUGCUCAUGCCCAGCUGCUAUUUGUGUUGCUAUUCGUGCUGCUGCUCUUGCCUUGAAGCCGCUACUCGUGCCGUUGUUCGUGGUCUUGCUCAUGACUUGAAGCCACCGCUAAUUUGAUUUCUGGUGCUGCUUGCUGGUGGUAGGGGUAGGCAAAAUACUCGACCCGACCCGAUCUGAUCCGAAAAAAAAAUCGGGUUUAGAUUGGAUCGGGUUGUGAAUAAAACUCGAAUGGAUGCAUUUGUGUCAACCCUAUCGGAUUAUGAUCGUAUUGGGUUGAACCGAUCGAGUUGACACAAAAUAAAAAAAAUUAAACCCCAAAUACACAUUACACACACUGGAACACGAUCUACACACACCACAUACAUUGGAACACGAUCUACACACAACACACCACACACACACUGGACCACAUACACACCACACACUGAAACACAGACACAAAAAUAGUCAAGCAUACAUAAAGUUCACGCCCACACCCACCCAGGCACCCACAGCCCACUGCCGACCAGCAACGUAAUCGCCCACACCCACCCACAAGCCACAACCUCCCUCUCUCGCAUCCCACUACCGACGGCAACAAGCAGCAGUUACACAUCCCACACCCACAACCAAACAAACAAAAUAUAGUCACAAUCACAAACAGUCAAACACACACGAAGUUCACGGAGCAAGCUAGAUUCGGCCACCAGACGCAGCAACCGUCGAGAGCCAACGCCAACCGAAGCUACUCCGCGAGGAUGGUAACCCGAUCUACCGAUCUACUGCUACCAAGUACCGGAUCUGCUGCCCCACCUCCACGCCUCCAAUCCUCCGCCAUCACCCGAUCCGAUUCAAGCUCCAUUUGGCUGUUGAGUUUUGAAAGCUUUGGGAUGAUUCAGAUCAGAUCAGAUCGGGUUAUAGAUUCGAAUUGAAUUCGAAUGAAUUCUUAUCUAACCCGACCAACCCGAAACCCGAUCGAGUUGAUCCAAACUCGAAUCAAACCCGAUUUUGCCCACCCCUAGCUGGUGGUUGCUAAAUUAACUUGCCAAUCUCCAAUAACUUCUAUUAAAUUGCAAUUACUGAUAAAAUGCCUACUUCUUGGUGCUAAUAUGUGAAUUUAAAAUUAUAUUUUCACUUGUAUAAAUUUAUUGUUAAUUUCUUAUGGGUGGUUGAGGUUCUUGAGGAGAAUACGAUCCAUCCUAUCGUUGGCUCUUUUUUGAUUUAAUGGCAUACUACUACCUUCUUUGCUCUUGUCAAAUCCGAACUCAUCCAAAUUGAUCCGAAGCUGAACUUAUCCUAAAUAUUUAUCCGAUCUGAGAUAAUUUGGAAAAUAAUAGAAUAUUUCAUAAAAUUUACUAUUUUAUUUAGAGUUUGUUCUUCUUUGGCAAUACGCUUAAAAAAGAUUAUUCAUUCCCUUUUCGGGAGGGGUUGGCUCCUUGAUCUUUAUUUUAUUAAGAAUAUAAUCUCCCUCCCUUGGAUUAGUGCUUGAACGUAUCCCUCAAAAGUUCGGCAUGAAAUUUGAAUGAGAUAAAUUCUUUCAAAUUUAAACUAGUAAUUUAAGUUAGCCAAACUUAAAAUCAAGAUCAAAUUUGAGGUUCAGAUUAAAAUCGGAUGAAUUUUUUCCUAAUUGAAAUCAUCCAAAAUCCGAUGGGAUUUGGAUCCAAAGUUACCAAAUCCUUCGCCCUAAUACAUUCACAGAUCAUCUUUCACCAAUCCAUGUAGUUUUGGAGUUAACAAGGGCACUGCUUUUUCUUUUAAAGUCAAUAGAUUUUUAGAUUUUUUUUUUGGGGUCUUAAGCUUAUCAACAGUUUACAAAAAAAAAAAAAAAAAAGAAGAGGGGAAAGAAAAAAGGCUAUGGGCAUCUCUUUUAUCUGUUUCUUUUAAUUAAUGCAUGUGGGCAUUAUUUAUGGUUGUAAGCUAAUGGUUAGAGUUUGAGCAUUAUCUAAUUGUCAGCCAUCGGCAAUCGGAUUAAAGUAAUGAGAUCAUCCAUGGGAUAAGGACGUUAUUGAUCAAUCAAAAUGCAAUUACAGGCGCAAGACACCAAAUUACGAUAAUCUAAUCGAAUAUUGUCAGCCGGAAUCCGAGGGCGAGCCUUUGUUUUGAGAAAAUAAACCGGAAA